rnacentral:rRNA from 1 species
UACAGAGGUCCCGAGCGUUGUUCGGAUUCACUGGGCGUAAAGGGCGCGUAGGCGGCCUUCUAAGUCGAACGUGAAAUCCCCGGGCUCAACCCGGGAACUGCGUCCGAUACUGGAAGGCUUGAAUCCGGGAGAGGGAUGCGGAAUUCCAGGUGUAGCGGUGAAAUGCGUAGAUAUCUGGAGGAACACCGGUGGCGAAGGCGGCAUCCUGGACCGGUAUUGACGCUGAGGCGCGAAAGCCAGGGGAGCAAACGGG